rnacentral:rRNA from 1 species
ACGAACGCUGGCGGCGUGCCUAAUACAUGCAAGUAGAACGCACAGUUUAUACCGUAGCUUGCUACACCAUAGACUGUGAGUUGCGAACGGGUGAGUAACGCGUAGGUAACCUGCCUGGUAGCGGGGGAUAACUAUUGGAAACGAUAGCUAAUACCGCAUAAUAUUAAUUAUUGCAUGAUAAUUAAUUGAAAGGUGCAAUUGCACCACUACCAGAUGGACCUGCGUUGUAUUAGCUAGUAGGUGAGGUAACGGCUCACCUAGGCGACGAUACAUAGCCGACCGGAGAGGGUGAUCGGCCACACUGGGACUGAGACACGGCCCAGACUCCUACGGGAGGCAGCAGUAGGGAAUCUUCGGCAAUGGACGAAAGUCUGACCGAGCAACGCCGCGUGAGUGAAGAAGGUUUUCGGAUCGUAAAGCUCUGUUGUAAGAGAAGAACGGGUGUGAGAGUGGAAAGUUCACACUGUGACGGUAUCUUACCAGAAAGGGACGGCUAACUACGUG